GAAACGCGUUGUACGAACCCGGAAUAGCGCCUAACCGGAGAAUAAACUCCCGGGAUAACUUAACUGGUGAUUUUUGGCCGGUCAGCCAACUUAAACAGGAAAUAAAUUUUCAAGAUGGCAGGAAUAGUGACAGUUGCAGCAACAAUGACGAGAUUUUAUCUGAAAUGUUCUUGAGAAUGAGGAACAAGAAAAAAGUUAGACGACGCCGAUUCAGAAUUUUUACCAAGAUUUCGCUUAUCAAAGGAAGCAGUUCUUCGCCGUUUCAAUUGUGUAUGUGAGAAAGUGGACCAUUUGAUGGACAGAAAUGACUACUCCACUAAUGAAGCAGCUGCUACAGACACUCAAAUAUUUUGCCUCUGGUGAUUUCCUCUGUCCAUUCGACACUUCAUUGGUAUUGACAAGGGGCCAGCCAGCAACAUUAUUAGAAGAGUGUGUAUGACGCUGGACAACAUAUACACACUACAGUUUUGUUAAUUAUUUCAAUUGUUGGAUGUAAUUAAGUGAAAAUAAAAUAAACACAUGUAUGUGGAAUAAAAUACGUUUCUUCUGAAA